rnacentral:misc_RNA from 1 species
GAUGAAGAACGCAGCGAAAUGCGAUAAGUAAUGUGAAUUGCAGAAUUCAGUGAAUCAUCCAAUCUUUGAACGCACAUUGCGCCCCCUGGUAUUCCGGGGGGCAUGCCUGUCCGAGCGUCAUUACAACCCUCAAGCUCAGCUUGGUGUUGGGCCCCGCCGCCCCGGCGGGCCCUAAAGUCAGUGGCGGUGCCGUCCGGCUCCGAGCGUAGUAAUUCUUCUCGCUCUGGAGGCCCGGUCGUGUGCUCGCCAGCAACCCCCAAUUUUUUUCAGGUUGACCUCGGAUCAGGUAGGGAUACCCGCUGAACUUAAGCAUAUCAAUAAGCGGAGGA